rnacentral:rRNA from 1 species
CGAGUUGUAUUUCCAGACUUUGUCCAAAUUCACACAUUAACUUAUGCACUUCGCUGCUUUUUAUGAUGCAGCCAGAUCGAACAUGAUAAACUGAUAGCAGCAAAGCCCCGUUUAUAAACAUUCUAUAAACAUACUGAUAGAAAAAGCUAACAGCGACAAAUAGAAAGAAAAAAAGAUCAAUCCUCAAAACUGAGAUGCAUGCCAUUUCAGAGAGAUAUUUCAGAUUUACAAAGGUGCACAGUGAGAUAUAAAGAUGACAAGUGCACAUGCUCCCAGAGAGAAACCAGCAAACAACCCAUGCAGAUGGAGUAUAUAAAAAUCGUAACAAGGGUUCCGUAGAGAGGGGGCUGCGGAAGGAUCAUUAUUGAAAUAAACCUGAUAGGUUGUUGCUGGUUCUCUCGGGAGCAUGUGCACACUUGUCAUCUUUAUAUCUCCACCUGUGCACCUUUUGUAAAUCUGAAUAUCUUUCUGAAUGGCAUGCCAUUCAGGUUUUGAGGAUUGAUCUUUUUCUUUCCUUACAUUUUCAGGUUUAUGUUUUUCAUAUACCCCAAGUAUGUUAUAGAAUGUUAUAAACGGGCCUUUGUGCCUAUAAAUUUAUACAACUUUCAGCAACGGAUCUCUUGGCUCUCGCAUCGAUGAAGAACGCAGCGAAAUGCGAUAAGUAAUGUGAAUUGCAGAAUUCAGUGAAUCAUCGAAUCUUUGAACGCACCUUGCGCUCCUUGGUAUUCCGAGGAGCAUGCCUGUUUGAGUGUCAUUAAUAUAUCAACCUCUUCAGCUUUUUGCAUGUCGAGUGUUGGAUGUGGGGGUAUUUUUGCUGGACUCUAUAGAAUUCGAGGUCAGCUCCCCUAAAAUGCAUCAGCGAAACAAUUUGUUUACCGCUCAUUGGUGUGAUAACUAUCUACGCUAUUGACGGUGACGCAUGUUUAGCUUCUAACAGUCCAUUAACUUGGACAACCUUUAUUAAUGUGACCUCAAAUCAGGUAGACAGCUGAU